GACGAACGCUGGCGGCGUGCCUAAUACAUGCAAGUCGACCUGAGUUGCGAACAGGUGAGUAACGCGUAGGAAACUGCCUCAUACCGGCGGAUAACUAUUGGAAACGAUAGCUAAUACCGCAUACUGUGAGUUGGACCUGCGUUUUAUUAGGUGGUUGGUGAGGUAAAGGCUCACCAAGGCGACGAUACAUAGCCGACCUGAGAGGGUGAUCGGCCAAACUGGGGAUUAGACACGGCCCAGGAUUCUACGGGAGGCAGCAGUAGGGAAUCUUCGGCAAAGGACGGAAGUCUGACCGGGCAACGCCGCGGGAGUGAAGGAGGUUUUCGGGUCGGAAAGACCUGUUGGUAGAGAAGCGGUAACUAACCAGAAAGGCACGGCUAACUACGUGCCAGCCGCCGCGGUAAUAC
rnacentral:rRNA from 1 species